AGCAUAUCAAUAAGCGGAGGAAAAGAAACCAACAGGGAUUGCCUCAGUAACGGCGAGUGAAGCGGCAACAGCUCAAAUUUGAAAUCUGGCUCCCUUGGGGGCCCGAGUUGUAAUUUGGAGAAGAUGCUUCGGGCGGGGCGCCGGUCCAAGUGCCUUGGAACAGGACGUCACAGAGGGUGAGAAUCCCGUACGUGGCCGCGUGCCUCCGCCCGUGUGAAGCUCUUUCGACGAGUCGAGUUGUUUGGGAAUGCAGCUCUAAGUGGGUGGUAAAUUUCAUCUAAAGCUAAAUAUUGGCCAGAGACCGAUAGCGCACAAGUAGAGUGAUCGAAAGAUGAAAAGCACUUUGGAAAGAGAGUCAAACAGUACGUGAAAUUGUUGAAAGGGAAGCGCUUGCAACCAGACUCGUGCCUAGUCGAUCAUCCGGGGCUCGCCCCGGUGCACUCGGCUGGGCGUGGGCCAGCAUCAGCUCUGGCGGUCGGAUAAAGGCUGCGGGAAUGUGGCUCCCCUCGGGGAGUGUUAUAGCCCGCGGUGCCAUGCGACCUGUCGGGGCUGAGGACCGCGCUCCGGCGAGGAUGCUGGCGUAAUGGUUGUUAGCGACCCGUCUUGAAACACGGACCAAGGAGUCUAAUAUCUAUGCGAGUAUUUGGGUGUCAAACCCACAUGCGCAAUGAAAGUGAACGGAGGUGAGACCCCGCGAGGGCGCAUCAUCGACCGAUCCUGAUGUCUUCGGAUGGAUUUGAGUAAGAGCAUAGCUGUUGGGACCCGAAAGAGAGUGAACUUUACGUGAAUAGGGUGAAGUCAGAGGAAACUCUGAUGGAGGCUCGCAGCGGUUCUGACGUGCAAAUCGAUCGUCAAAUUUGCGUAAAGGGGCGAAAGACUAAUCGAACUUUCUAGUAGCUGGUUCCUGC
rnacentral:rRNA from 1 species